UUUAAGGAAUUUUUGGAAAAGCAGAAAUGUGCCAUCAAGGCCAUGGCAUCAAAAAAUGCUGCCACACAAACUGCAGCAGGAUGCCUCUAAUUGUGGAAUCUUAAUUUUGAAGUUUGCAGAGCAGUAUUUAAAAUACGAAGAAAUUCACUCUGUAGACACUAACAUGGAGGCGAUGGAAGCUGCAAGACUUCAAAUUGCAGCCACUCUUUUGACGUGCAAAGAAUCUGUGGAUGAGUAUUGUGUGUCCUGUUCAGUGCUGCAAUAUGAUGGUGAACAAAGCAUCAUUGAUAUGGUGGAGUGUGACUUUUGUUCGCGGUGGACACAUACACAAUGUGCAGGACAACACCACGAUACCUUUGAAUGCAUAAAAUGCAAGUUGAAUUCCAC